GGCAGAGAGGAGGAGGAGGAGGAGCAGCAGGAAGAGGAAGAAAGGAUAAAGGAAGGAGUGUAAAAGUUUGUCUUUGCCUCCUCAAUGUGAAGAAGUUUUCAAGUGAGGGCUUGUUGGCUUUUCUCUGGUUUUCUUUUCCUCUCCCUCCUUUCUUCCUCCUUCUCUCCUUCCCUCCCUCCCUCCCUCCUUCCC